UUUCCGUAGGUGAACCUGCGGAAGGAUCAUUAUUGUAUAACCACGGUGCGAGGACCGUGGCUGACCAAAGAGGUCUUGCACUCCCGAGUGCACUCACAAACCUCCAUCCAACCCCUAUGUGCACCACCUCGUGGGUUCCCCUUUGGCUUGUUCGGAGGGGGGCUUACGUUUUGACACAAACUUUGUAUGCCGUGUAGACUAUAUUUAUUGUUUUUUCUAUACCGCGAUCAUAACCACUUUCAACAACGUAUAUCUUGGCUCUCACAUCGAUGAAGAAUG
rnacentral:misc_RNA from 1 species